UUACAUUGUAGCUCGUCAGUUCCAAAAGAUUAAACACACAAUGGUAUCAAUGAUACAAAGCUUGUCAAAAGUGAAUGUCCAACUAGAAUGGAUCAGCAAUCAUUAUGCUGAACCAUCAGCCUUGACCUCAAGACAAGACCAAUUGUUUGUACAACAAAUGUUGGAGGUUUGCAAAGGAUUUGCCGCAUCAAAUCUUGAAAACAUUAAUAAAGCAUCAGCUUCCACCAACAGUGAAGCAAACUACCAUUAAACAGCAUAUGGAGACCACAUUUCCACAUUGUGUUACUACCCU